rnacentral:tRNA from 4 species
GGCCGGAUGGUAGAGUGGUUAUACACUUGAUUGCAAAUCAAUGAAUCUCGGUUCGAUUCCGGGUCCGGCCUCCA